rnacentral:rRNA from 1 species
AGCGGCGGACGGGUGAGUAACGCGUAGGCAACCUGCCCCAUACAGAGGGAUAGUUUCGGGAAACCGGGAUUAAAACCUCAUAACGCGAGGAGUUCACAUGGACUUCUCGCCAAAGAUUCAUCGGUAUGGGAUGGGCCUGCGUCUGAUUAGCUAGUUGGUGAGGUAACGGCUCACCAAGGCGACGAUCAGUAGCCGACCUGAGAGGGUAAUCGGCCACAUUGGAACUGAGACACGGUCCAAACUCCUACGGGAGGCAGCAGUGGGGAAUAUUGCACAAUGGGCGAAAGCCUGAUGCAGCAACGCCGCGUGAGCGAUGAAGGCCUUUGGGUCGUAAAGCUCUGUCCUUGGGGAAGAAACAAAUGACGGUACCCUUGGAGGAAGCCCCGGCUAACUACGUGCCAGCAGCCGCGGUAAUACGUAGGGGGCGAGCGUUAUCCGGAAUUAUUGGGCGUAAAGAGUGCGUAGGUGGCCAUAUAAGCGCGGGGUGAAAGGCAAUAGCUUAACUAUUGUAAGCCUUGCGAACUGUGUGGCUUGAGUGCAGGAGAGGAAAGUGGAAUUCCUAGUGUAGCGGCGAAAUGCGU